UUAAGCAUAUAAGUAAGCGGAGGAAAAGAAACUAAAUAGGAUUCCCUUAGUAAUGGCGAAUGAACAGGGAUAAGCUCAGUAUGGAAAUCGGGGCUUCCCAGCCUUGAAUUGUAGUCUCAAGAUGUAUCGCCAACGGAGGCGCAGAUGUAAGCCUCUUGGAAAAGAGCAUCAAUGAGGGUGAGAGUCCCGCUUGUCAUCUGCAGUCCCCCGUGCACGGUGUACGUUCUAAGAGUCGCGUUCCUCGGGAUUGGAGCGUAAAGUGGGUGGUAAAUUUCAUCUAAGGCUAAAUACGGGUUCGAGACCGAUAGCAAACAAGUACCAUGAGGGAAAGAUGAAAAGGACUUUGAAAAGAGAGUUAAAAGUGCCUGAAAUUGCUGAAAGGGAAGCGAAUGGAACCAGUGCUCUUGGCGAGAUUGUUGCGCCCUACGGUGAUUGCUGGCUGUUUCAGCGCAAGCGGAGCAGUUUGUACUGAUCUGGACGGGCGUAGUGUUUCUUACCUUGUGCGUCAGCGUCGGUUUACAGUUGAGGAAACCUCCAGGGAGAUGGUAGUUCUUCUACGGCGGAGCGAAUGUCCUUGGUAGUACUCAUCUGUAGACCGGAGUCUGUUUGUCCUCAGUGCUUUGCCUCUCUAUUUUUCCCUGCAAGGGCUUGCCCGAGUUGGGGGGGUGUGGGGUCGCGGGGUGCACCUGGUCAAGUAGACGUUGACUAAAUGGUUUCAUUCGACCCGUCUUGA
rnacentral:rRNA from 1 species